AUGACGGUACCCGGAGAAUAAGCCCCGGCUAACUUCUGUGCCAGCAGCCGCGGUAAUACNAAGGGGGCGAGCGUUGUUCGGAGUUACUGGGCGUAAAGGGNGCGUAGGCGGCGAACCAAGUUAGGCGUGAAAGCCCCGGGCUCAACCUGGGAAUUGCGNUUAAGACUGGU
rnacentral:rRNA from 1 species